rnacentral:misc_RNA from 1 species
GAUGAAGAACUUAGCGAAAUGCGAUAAGUAGUGUGAAUUGCAGAAUUCCGUGAAUCAUCGAAUCUUUGAACGCACAUUGCGCCUCCUGGUAGUCCGGGAGGCAUGCCUGUUCGAGCGUCACCAAAUCCAACUCAAGCGGUUUUGCGCUUGGUCGUGGCGGAAGAGUCGGUCUGGUUGCCGUCUCCCCUCCGAAAAUCAACGGCGGAAAGUCACUGGCAGUCAGCGUAGUAGUAUCGUUCGCCGAACAUCCAGUGGCAUUCCUGCCGACGUACCCCCACAAUUCUCGUGAUUGACCUCGGAUCAGGUAGGGAUACCCGCUGAACUUAAGCAUAUCAAUAAGCGGAGGA